CCAAAACUAACCAUUUUAUUAUUACAUUUUGAACAUGCUACAAAGUUUACCAAAUAAACAUCAAGACUACCAUUUAUUCAUAAGAUUUCAUAUUCCAACAUUACAAAACAUACUCAAAAAAGCUAACCAAUCUUCUUAAUCAUCCAUUACCAUUAACAUUAACAACUUACAAACAAAACCUAUAUACACAUGCCACAACCCAAAAAGAGAUGAAAAAGCUACCAAAAUGAUUGGAUAGUGUGAGCUUUUCAAUCGAUCCGUCCAAUUAGUCCGCUACUGAUAACUACAAAAUAACAUGAAAGAAACAAAUAAACUUAAAUAGCUUAGUAAGAUCAUAUUAUAACAUCUACUUAACUUAACUUAAUUAAAAUAAAAAAAUUAAAGUUAUAACAUGCUCAUCCUAAUCUUCAAAUACAUGGUACGUUUGUUUUCACAAUCAACCAAAUUGAAAUGGGCAUCUUCUCUGGAAAUUUAUCAUAAUAGGAUUAUACCUAUUCCAUGUAACAAUCCAUAAAUAAACCUUUCAUACAAGUAUGUAACUAGUUCGUAGUACUCCAUAACAUUUAUUCUAAAUCAUUAGUACUCGAUUCACAUACUCAAUAGUUACUCCAUUUUCAGAGGCAUCAUAGAUGCAAAACAGGAGCACAGAUGUGCAAAUAGGGAUACUGAAGUAUAUACAUAAAUACUUGCAAUUCACAUGGUUAUAUAAAUAACCAAAAUAACUACAUAUAUAUAUAAAUCAAUUAACUAGAAAUUAGUAAUCUAAUACACAAAUAAAUUACAAUUCUAAAACAAAGCACUAUGAUUUUACCUACGAUCCACUCUCGAUUCAAACGCAGGGACUACUUCAUAAUUUUUAUCUUUCAUCGUUUAUUGUCUUUAUGACUUGUGCCUUGAUCUAUAUAGUAAUUAAAUACCUUUUAUUAAAUUCACAUACAUUUAAUACUCAAUUUAAUGUAUAAGACCAUUAAAUUUUCAUUAAUUAUACAUUUUCACUAAACUUUUACAUUUAUCACAAUUUAGUCCCUACCCUCAAAAUACCAAAACUAACAAAACUUUAUAACAUAACAUGCUAGCCAUAUUUUUACCCUACCACAUUCAGCCCACAUUUAUUCUAAAUUCACUAAAAUUCCCUAUCACUUCUAACAUUUCAUCAGUUUAAUCAUUUGCUCAAAAACUAACAAAAAUCACUUUAUAAUUUACUCAUAACCAACAACUAAUAACUCUAAUUCAUCAUCUAAUCUCAUAAUACUAAGAAUUCAUCCAUGGUAAAUUUCAAAAAUCUUAACAGUUUCAAAAAAGAAGCUAUGGGUUAGUUGCACCUAGUUACAACAUUCCUAAAAACAUAAAAAUUACAAGAGGUAAGCUUAAAUUGAACUCACAUGCAAAAGGGAACUUUAACCGAACCUUGCUAGCACAAAAAUGGUGAAUUUCUUUUCUAUUUUCGGUGGAAGAACCCUUUAGGGAAGAUGAUACUCUAUUUUGUUUUAAUUAUUAAACUAUAUUAACUCAACUACAAAAAUUGCCCUCAAAAUUAAACAUGCAUUUUAACAUAUUUUCAAGCCUUAAACCGUCCAUCACUAAACUUUAUUGACAAAUUACUUCAUAAGUCCCCUCCACAUCAUUAAUUAAACUAUCAAGUCAAUAUAAUUCAUUAAUUACUAAAUUUUUCAUCUUUCACAAUUUAAUCUUUUUUAUUCAAUUAACUAAUUAAACCUUAAAAUUUCUUUACCAAAAUUUAGUAUAACCCUAAUAAAAUUUGAUAAAAAUUAACUAAAUAUUAAAACAUGAUAACACAUAUCAGAAUCGUGGUCUCGAAAUCACUAUUUUUGACACAAUUGAAAAACGGGAUAUUACAACAUACAUUUUAUAACAUCCUGAUUUUUAGUGGUGCUGAAAAAGGUGGUUUCAGAACACCAUUUCUAUAAACCGAGUUCGUAAAUAUUAAAUACGAAUAUUUACGAAGUUGGUAUAAAAGAAUAUUGAUGCUUGCCCAUCAAUUCUGUCUAUUAAUUACUUAAUUAGGAUACAGGGACUAAAUUAUAAAAUUCUAAUUGCUAUAGAUUUUUAAUUGACCACAUGUUUAGGGACUUAAAUUGUAAUUAUAUAAAAUUUUAAAUUGGUGAAUAAACCAUUUUUCAUUAGGAGAUAUGUAACACCCUAACUCGUAUUCGACACCAGAACAGAGUUACGAAACAUUACGGACUUAUGACUUAAACAAUCAUACAUUUCAUAAUCAAUUAUCAUUCAAAUCAAAAUCCAUUCAAACACAUUAAUACAGUCCCUGUUACGAGCCCUCAAGCCCCCAAAUAAACAUUAAAAGUGGUUCAGGACUAAACCGAGUAUUCAAAAUUUUUUUAGAAAAACAUUGAAAAUUUUCAAAGUGUAGAGGACACACGCCUGUGUGGCUAGGCCGUGUGGACAUUCGAAAAGGGAUCACAUGGUCGUGUCCUAGCUCGUGUCUGACCUCGUGUAACUCACUGACUUGGGUCACACGGCCAAACCACAUGCCCGUGUGCCAGGCCGUGUGAAAACUAGAUGGUAUACUGACUUGUGCCACAUAGCCAAGCCACACGCCCGUGUGCUAGGCCUUGUGAAGCUACUAACUUGCUUUCUAAGGAAAUUAUAGGGGACACACGGUCGUGUCACCUGGCCGUGUGUCAUCUGGCCAUGUGUCACACACGGCUGAGACACACACUCGUGUCUCUGCUCGUGUGGACAAAAAUAGGCCAUUUUCCAAGCUAUAUUUCUCACCCAAAUUGGUGACAACCUAUACACAUCAAAAUACAUAAAACCAUGGCAUAAAUAGGCACUCAAGUCCAACCAAUAUUAAGUUUAUAACAAGUACAUUCACACCAUAACAUGAUACCCAUAAACACAUUCAUUUGAUCACUUUAAAACAUACCAAACAUACUUCAAAGGUUACCUAAAUAAUCAAUUACAUAUAUAAAGACAUUGUGCCUAAAACUUAGCAUACAUAACCAUCUUCAUUUCAACCAAUUAAUGCCAAACACAAUUUCACAAGCAAGGCAUUCAUAUACCGACCAUACACUACAUAUCAAAGGGUCAUUUGAACAUAUAUACAUAUCAAAAUAUGUGACCACCUUACAAGCCAUCUCAAAUGGCCAAAACACAACAAGACAUAUAGGUCACAUUAGCUAAAACACCUAUACAUGCCAUUUAACCAAAAUAUACAAAGUACAAAAUACCGGAAUGAGAGUUUGAUAGUGCGACACGAUCUCUGACAACUUCCAAACCGAGCGAGCUUUCAAAUCACUAUAAAACACGAAAAUUAAAACAGAGUAAGCAAUUAAGCUUAGUAAGUUUGUAUGGCUAAUAAAUACAACUUACCAUUCAUCCACAAUUUAGAUAAGCAUAAUUAAAACAUAGGUAAAUUUCAAUUGGCCCAAAGCCUAAUACAUAAUCACAAUCAUGUUAGUCAUAUAUGAAUACAUCAACUAUGAAUUACUUUUCGUAUUUUACACGAAUACCUAUACUGGUUCGUAUCAACUCUUAUAACCUCGUAUCAUCAUCUGUGCCUGUUAAACCAUUUGGAAUACUAUCGGAUACUCAAGUAUCUCACACACUAAGUGCUAAUACGUGGUCAAAAUCACCUCUAUCCCAUAUCUCAUAUAGAUGCUCACUCUCGAGCCAUCAUUAGUCUGCUCACACAAGCUGUCAGUCAAGACGUAACUACACAGUGUUACUCAUACAAGCUGUAAAGUAAUCGCAACACAUACCAGAAACUCAACCACCGGUAAGACGUACGAGACCAACACCCAAAAAACGGUAACCCUUAAUGACAUGUCAUUUGUAUCCUAUCUAUUCCUAAGGUUCAACCGGUAUCCAUACAUUGUAGAUACCUCGUCGAGAAUUUCCGUGGUGUCAUAUCAUCACAAUUAUAUCAAUUGAGCAUUUAAACACAUAUAACUUAAUUCUUAUUAAACAUACAAACUUACCUCAAAUUUACACGGAGACAAUCGACCGAUCAAUCCAUUACUUUAUCUUUGCCUCGAUCUAAUUCCGAACGUGGCUUUUCUUGUUCUAUAUAUAAUCAAAUUUAACUAAUUUAAUAUUUAUUCUAUUCAAUUCAAUUCAAUUUCAUGUUAUGGAAAAAUUACCAUUUUACCCCUAAACAUUUAACCUUUUUACAAUUUAGUCCUUAGGCUCGUAAAAAUGAAAUUAAUGAAAUUUCACUACAUCCAAGCCUAUCCAAAAAUUAUAUAUGCUCAUAUCAGCCCAUAUAUUACAUAAAUUCACGCAUUUGUCACAAAUUUUUCACAUUUCUCAAUUUAACCCAUAACUAACAAUUUCAUCAAAACUCACUUAACAAAAGUUGUUUAUUUAACAACAUGGGUUCAUUUUCUUCCAUUAAACUUCAAGAACAACUAAUAUUCUCUCAUGGAAAAACCCUAUACUUUAAACCAUAUUGCAAUUUAGUCCUCUAUUUAGCUAGAUUAAGCUACAACAGUUCCGAAAACAUAAAAAUCAACGAAAACGGGAUGAAAUAGCACUUACAUGCAAAGAAAAAACUUGAGAAAAAAUUUCUUCCCUUCUCCUAUGGUGAAUUCAGCUAUGGCAUGAAAAAUAGAAGAAGAUGAUAGCUUUUUGGCUUUUCUUUUAUUUAUUUUUAUCAUUAAUUGUAUUUUUAUCAUUUUACCCUUACCUAACUUUAAAAAUUACUCAUAUACCAAGCCAUGCACACCCAAUAACUCAUUUAAUGGUCCAAUUACCAUAUAAGGACCUCCAAUUUAAAUUUCUAUAGCUAUUUAACACCUUUAGCUAAUAGAACACAACUUUCACACUUUACGCGAUUUAGUCCUUUUUCAAAAAUUGAGCAUACAAAUAGUAAAAUUUAUUAACAAAAUUUUUAUACCACCAUAUUAUCAUGCUAUAGACCAUAAAAUAAUAUUAAAAUAAAUUUUUCAACUUCAAAUUUGUGGUCCUGAAACCACUAUUCUGAUUUCAUUGAAAACGGGCUGUUACAAGAUAAUUCUUGAUGAUGGUUUUCUCUACUAUUGAAAUUUAAAUGCUUAUUAUGUUAAUUAAGUUAGAUUAACUUAAUUAAUUUAGGUUAAUUAAAGAUUAUUCAAAGUAUAUAAGACAUGUGAAAAUGGGAUAUUCCUCCUUCAUUUUCUUUUAACCGUCCAAGCAUAAAAACCUUAGAAAAGUCAUUUUUGAAACUCAAACAUUCAACCAUCUAAUAGGUAAGCAAAUUUAAGUCUUUUCUUGUAUUUUUUUUUUUAUGUUUUUGAAGUCAUGGGCGCUUGAUUUAGCUAGCUUAUAUACCAAUUUAUAAAAUUAUUAAAGUUUUUGAAAGUUGUCAUUGUUUAAUUUUUGAAGAAUUAUGCUUGAAAUUGAUAGAUUUUAAGUUUGGGGUGGUGAAAAGGACUAGAUUGUAAUGUUUAAUUGUUAGUUUUACACAUAGAGAUUAAAGUGAAUAAUACAUAAAAUUGUUGUGAAAUUUCGAUAGAAAUAGAAAGUAGAGGGUUCCUGAUGAAUGUAUGUGAAGUUGGAUUUUAAAUUGAGGUUAAAAAUUGAAAGUUAUGGCUAUUUUGAAUUUAGGGACUAAAUUAAAUAAAAUAUAAAAUUUUAGGGUAUCAAAAAAUGAGAUUAUAUAAGUUCAUUCAUGUCAUGGCAUAAUAUGAAAUUUUUUUGUAUUGAUGGAUUGUAUAAAAUAAUUGUUUAGAUUAAGAACCAGAUCAAAUCGGAGUUAAUCAAGGAGAAGCUAAAUUUGUUGAUUAGUUCUUGAAGAAUCAACUUGUUUGAUGUUUUGAUCACAUUGUCGAAACCACUUUUUGAAAAACAAAAAUUUAGUUAUAGACUUAAAAAUGAAAAUUGGAGUCGCCACCGAUCCUUUAUUGAAGUGUGAUCGGAUCACCUUAAAAACGAUUUUGGUCUACGAAUUUCAGAAAAAUGAGUCCGGGAGUCAAUUACAUACGAGGAAGGGUUAGUACCCUCGUAAUGCCCAAAAUUGGUACCUAAUUGAUUAUUUAACGUCUUGAGGUCGAAUGUCGAAAAUGGUUAAAAAGCGAUUCCCCUUUUAAAAUCUUUAUUAAAAUUUUUUAUUUUGAAAACUAAAAAAUUUAGUCAUCUUGCUUCAGUGAAGAAAUCGAAACCCCGUAAGUUAGGGCACGAUUCUUUGAAGUUCCUAUGACAACACACGAAUUUGCUUUUAUCAAAAAUCUCGUCUCGAGAUAACAAAAUGUCGGACCCAGUGAGUUAGGAUAUAACAUUUCAAAUUCUCGAGAUAAGCUUUGAUUUGAAAUUUUUACAUUUGGAUUGAAAAAAAGAUACUCGGGUACUUAAAUUCAACGAGGAAAAUUGAAGCCCAGUAAGUUAGGGCACAAUUUUCUUUGAAAAUCUAAGAUACCGAGAAUUGCUUUAUUUUAUAAACCCUUGAAUGAAAAAUGUAAGGUGAUUAAAUGACAAUAUGCAACGCGAAAGGGUAACUUGUAAAUAAAUCACACAUUAAUCAAAUGAGCGGUAGAUAUAUACAAGCAAGUAAUACACAUAGCAACAAUAAUCUCAUGUAAAUACUCACAUUGGCUAAUAAGAGGAAACUAAUUAAAAUCAAGCAAUUUUACAUAAACACUAACGAAAUAUACAAAUUUAAAUAUAAUUCAAGAAACAAAUAUAAUAUAUAUAAAUUAAAAUAUUUAAAUAAAUUUAAAUAAAUUAACAAUAUUGAAAUAAGUUGAAAUAAAUUAAAGAUGUUAAAAUAUUUGAAAGAGAUAAAAUAUCUAUAUAAUAAUAUGAAACUAACAAUAGAUUAUGUAUGUAUGUAUGUAUGUAUGUAUAAUGAAAAUAAUUUAAUAUAAAAUAUGUAUACAUAUAUAAUAUUAUUAUAUAAUAGUAUUACGUAAACAAAUAUUUAUACAAAUCUAAAAAUAUGUAAUGAGUAAAUUUUGAGAAAAUAUAUUGUAGAAUAAAAAAAAUACAAUAAAUAUUAAUAAUGGUAUAUCAUAAAAAAGGGGUAAUAAUAUAUAAAAUUUUAAAAGAAGCUUAAAACAAAAUACAUAUAUAAUAAAAUAAUGUAUAAAUAAAAUAAGUAAAUAUAUAAACGAAUAACAUCAUUAAUAAUAAUAACAAUAAUUGUAGUAAAUAUAAUAAUUAUAUCAAACCAAUUUAUUAAUUUUUUUAGAAAAAUAACAUACAUAUCAAAAAAGGAUUAAAUCGCAAUUAAAACUAAAUUAACAGGAAACAAAUGAAAUUAAAAUAAAUAGCGGGAUUAAAACACAAUACAUAGAUUACAAGGGGGUCAGAUUGAAAUAUUCCCCUGCAUCCAAAACGCUGCGCGGCGAAAUGGGUUAAAAUGGGACAACAUCAAAAUACGGGGCGAAUUUAGGAAAUAAAAAAAACAAAUUGAAACUAUGAAACAAAUUAGGAGGACUAAUAGCGCAAAUUACCCAUUAGGGCAAGAACGCGCUGACCCUACCUACGGGUCGGGUCAACGCGCAGAUCUUCCCUCAUUAAAACGGUGCCGUUCUCCUUUAAUAUUAAAAUCAAAAUUAUUCUUAAAAAAACAUUUCUAUUUCAUUUUUUAAAGAGGAAAGCAGAGGGGAAGGGGUUCUCUGCUAGGGUUUCGACCCUAGCACCCUCAUGCCGCCGCCGUCGUGCCCACCGUGAAGCCAUCGCGAAUGGCGCCCGAAACCAGGUAAAUCGCUUUUUUCCUUUUUAUUAUUAUUUUUUAAAAAAGUAUGAAACAAAGAUAAAAAAAAACAAAAGAAGAAAACUCGAAGAAAAAAGGAAAAAAAAACCUUCAAAUUGCUCUUUGAUUCUCUUUUUUUUAAAUAGUUUUUGAUAUAAUAUUCGUAACCCAUUUUACAGAUUUAAUUUGGCUUUAUAUAGCCAAAAUAACGUAAAAAAGAAACUCUCGAAAACUCUUUUUUCAUUUUUGUCGUAAUUUCUGCUAUUAUUUGCUGUUCGUGAUUUGUGGUUUGUUACAGGUGCACUAGAGGAGACGUGCGUGGCGUGCGUGGAGGGCGAUAACCGCUGGCACACACGCGCGAAAAGGCCUGGUGGUUGCGGCGCUGGCUGGGGUUGAAUGCUAUUAGGGUUUGGUUUUAUUUUUUGGUGAAAUAAGCUUAGGGUUAGUGGUUUAGGUCUUUAUAACUAUUGGGCUAGGUAUCGGGCCUCUGUAACUGGGUUUGGGAUUAGGUUGAUAUGUUGAGCUAAAAUUUUGUAAUUUGGAUUGCGUUUGGACUUUACAUUUUUUUGGUAUUUAAUUUUAUUUAUUUAGUUUUUGUAAGGGGGCAAAAAAUUGGGUAUCACACACAUAAGUUCAUAUGAUAUUUAUUUACUUAGGUUAUUAUGUAUUUGAUUUAUAUACGCAUGCUUGAUUGUGGAUUACUUAGUUAUAAAUUGGUAUGAAAGGCUAGAAUUGGACUAUUGGUUUAGAAACGUUAUGAAUUUAAUUAUACUUAAAUUGCGUCUUCCAUUUUGGCCAAUUUAUUUCAUGUUUAUAAUUCUCAACAAAUUGUUUUUAAGAUCCUCAUUUUUUUUUCAUUAUUUCAAUAAAAAAUUGCAUGUAAAAUCGUUGUCGACAACUUUCUAUUUUCAUGGUUCUAUAUUUUCACAUAUUAACAUAACUUAUUGUAUUCUCUUUAUUUUCAUUAUUUCUAUAUUUAGGUAUUUGAAUCUGUUUAGAAGUUUUAAUAAGUAGUUAUGUUGUAGGUCUCUUUAAAAGCACUCGCAUCCAUUAUAUAACUAUCUAUAUUUAUUAUUUUCUUGUACGAGAUUUUUCAUAUUUGGAAUCGAUCAACCUAUCAUGCUUCAAUCAUGCAUUACUUUUAUUUAUUCUAACAGGUUGACUUCAAUUCAAAUAAAAAACAUUAGUUGGUAUAUAGAACUAUUCUCAUUAGAGUCCUCAAUCCAUGGCUUUUGCUCGAGAUUUGGGACUUGAUAAGGUGGUUGUGGAAGGGGAUUCUCUUACCGUGAUUAAAAAUGCAUCGUCUAACUAUCUUGAUCUCUCUCCUAUUGGUCCCAUUAUUCAAAGUAUUAGACACAUGAGAAUUUUUUUUCAAUAUUGUGAUUUUGUGUUUACUCGAAGACAAGGGAAUAUUGUCGCAAAUCUAUUGGCAAGGUUAGGUAAGGAUUAUGGAGAAAAUACCUUAUGGAUGGAGGACGGGUCGGAGUAGAUCUAUCGGCUUCUGGAAGAAGCUCAACAUUUUCUCCACUUAGAAUAGUUUGUUUUGCUUUUUCUUCUGCUUCCUUGGUCUGGUUUUGUUUCUUGCCUGUGGGGAGUGGGAUUGCUGUCGCACAACAACUUGAUUGCAGGUUUUGGCACUGUUCUCCCUUUUGGCGUCCCUGCUCUGAGGUUUUCAGUAUUCUUUCAUUUCUUCAAGAUGGGGAUUUCAUUUCAGUAUUCUAUAGACUUUGAGAGGGUUUUUUUUGUUUUGUUUUGUUUUAGAUGUGAGGAGAUUGGUUAUUCUUUUUC
rnacentral:lncRNA from 1 species